rnacentral:rRNA from 1 species
ACGGGUGCGUAACGCGUGGGAAUCUACCCUUGGGUUCGGAAUAACAGUGAGAAAUUACUGCUAAUACCGGAUGAUGUCGAAAGACCAAAGAUUUAUCGCCCGAGGAUGAGCCCGCGUAGGAUUAGCUAGUUGGUGAGGUAAAGGCUCACCAAGGCGACGAUCCUUAGCUGGUCUGAGAGGAUGAUCAGCCACACUGGGACUGAGACACGGCCCAGACUCCUACGGGAGGCAGCAGUGGGGAAUAUUGGACAAUGGGCGAAAGCCUGAUCCAGCAAUGCCGCGUGAGUGAUGAAGGCCUUAGGGUUGUAAAGCUCUUUUACCCGGGAUGAUAAUGACAGUACCGGGAGAAUAAGCCCCGGCUAACUCCGUGCCAGCAGCCGCGGUAAUACGGAGGGGGCUAGCGUUGUUCGGAAUUACUGGGCGUAAAGCGCACGUAGGCGGCUUUGUAAGUUAGAGGUGAAAGCCUGGAGCUCAACUCCAGAACUGCCUUUAAGACUGCAUCGCUUGAAUCCAGGAGAGGUGAGUGGAAUUCCGAGUGUAGAGGUGAAAUUCGUAGA